CACAGUCCAGCAUGGCGGCCUCCUUAGGUCGUCAGCUCCCCUCCCUCCUGGCGCUGCUGGGCUGGCUCCUGGCGGCGCCCCCGAGUCUUGGGCUGAGUUCCGGAUAGGUAAGCAGGCAGGAGAUCCUGCUGUGCCAAAUGGUACUCAGAAGUGCCAGUGCUAGAAUGGAGCUGCUUGUGAUCCUAUUCAUGGGACUUGUACCUGCCUUCCAAGGAGAUAUCUGUGCUGAGGAAGGACUGCAGCCUCAAACCUCUUGAAGAAAGGAGAAUUGCCUAGAACCUCAAAGAAGAGAAUAAGGAAACUCCAAAAGAUACAAUGGUGACAGCACCACAUGGCCUCUUACUUAAACCUUCUGAGAGACUGCUAAAAAUUGGUUUAAAGAAAUGAAAAGGGAAUGUGGUGACACCUAACUACAUUCAUUUCUGCCUAGGAUUCACUCUCCACCCUCCUCUCUAUUUAGCAGUAGUAGAACCCUGGAGUGUUUCUCUUAGCCUUGUUGUUUACUGACUUGGAGAAUAAAGGGAGCAGCUUGGGA